CUGGGGUGGGAGUGGGAGAGGUGGAGGGUGUUGCAGGCCCUCCCUGGUAACCAGAGAAGGGCAAACUCCAACCGCAGGGAGAUGAUGCCACUUGUGGGCUCUCAUAUUGGAGAGGAGCAAGAUGAGUGACAGAGCGGUGCGCGCUGUGGCCCUGCGCACGAACAGGCGGAGGGGGCUGUCUGUGUGUGUGCACUAGGCUGGAGGGGGGCGCUCCUGCUGCACCGGCCACAGGACUUGGGGGAGAGCUCGGCGGUGACGCGCAGCCCUCACGUGACCGCGAGCUGCAGAGCGACGCAGCCUUUGGUGCAGUCGUCACUCGUGUCUGGGUACCAGCUCCCCGCUGCCCUGCGCACGGCGGGCUGGCAUCGGGCCCGGGGGAAGCUGAGCAGGUCUGCGGGACUAGGCGUCGCGGCGGCGCACUCGUGGCGAGAAUCAGGAGGAGGAGACAGCGAGGAUAGGCCCAGAAAACUAAC
rnacentral:lncRNA from 1 species